rnacentral:lncRNA from 1 species
GUAAUUUAUGUUUUGAGGAAACCCAUGGAUCUUGUAGCACUUAUCAAUUAAGUGCCCAGAUUCUUGCAGUAUCUGCAAAUAAGGGCCCUCUGCUUUGCACAAAAUUAACUCUGGGUCUGAAAAUAGGGGGUCUAGGCACUGUGGCCUGAUUAAACCCAACCGAGUGCUUGUUUGCAUGAGCAUUAAAAGACAUAGAGUCUGGACUGAUUUGAGAAAUAGAUUGA